CUAAUAAUUCCUAAGAAAUCAAAAUUUCUGAUAGUUUCUCUUUUUUAAUUUUUUUUUCAUCAAGUUCAUUGUAUUACCUUUAUUUGAUGUAGGUUUAAUGAGGCGAAGCUGAGAAGUUAUUAAUUUUACUAUGAUAUAUAUAUUUUAUUGUGUCUGUUACCACUUCGUUAGCUCUCACUGGACCAAUAUCUUUUAACAAUACGUCAUAAGAUUACAAAUCGUAUCUAGUCAAAGACAUUACUCUCAAAAAUUGAGAAAAUUUCCCUCGUUCUCCGUAAAUGGGGGAAAUCUAAAAAAAAGUACAAUUUUAAAAAUCGGUAACUUUAUGAGAUAUUUGUGUUCUUUAAACCUAUAUUAAAUUACAGAACUUCAGGUGUACUUUAUGAUUAAAAAAUGUCUCGACUAUAUAUUUUUUCUAUGAGUUAUUUGACUUUAAAAUGCAGUAUUUCAAAAAAAAAAUUUAAUAGAUUCACAUUGAAACAUUUUUUAUGAUAGUGAUGUUAAUUACUCUCAGAUCCAACAUCCCGGCAGAAUCUCGUGAAGUAUAAAAAAAAUCAAAUAGGCAAUAAAACAAGGAAGAAUCUGAAAUGCCAAAGAAAAGGUCUGUUAAUAGAUUUGCUUGGAAAAAUCUUGAGAAAAACAACAAAGGUUUCAGACUUACACUGUCUCCUAAACUGCUAUGGGUUCAAGAUCAAUCUGCAUACUAUUCAAGUCAGUUGUAUAAAUAUAAUUCGACGAUAAAUAAUUCGAAAAAAUGGAAGAGAUUGUGAAAAUACAACUUCUUAAAAAAAUACUUCCAGAUAACAUAGUUAUAUUAUUUCAAAAAAAAAUAAUAAUUUAAUGUUUUUAUAAGAUUUGUUUUAUUUUU